UGUCCAGUCUUGUGCUCACCUCCUUGCUAUCUCCUGCUCUGAUGUUUUCACCUUCUGCCUGGAGCAAUGUGGGGAGAAUGUAACGAACACAGAUGAGGUUAAAGGAAGCAUGAAGGUGAGCUAGACCACUGUGAUUAGAUAAAGCAAGCAGACUCAGUGGCCUCUACACCUACUUUUACAUAACAUGAGACAGACCCAGACGCACAGAGAGCUCUGAAAUGUCAUGGAGGAAGCAGAUGAAGAAGACAGUGCAGGAUAGAGAGGUAACGUGAUUAAUAGCUCACUUUCAAGAACGGCAUGCAGGGUGCAUGCGUGCCCACAUGACAAAAGAUACUCAGAUCCAAGCACUCGCAAACUUCCAGUGUUGGGUGGUAGGAGACUAGUCAUCAUUCCUCCCUCUGCUGGCGAUUUCAUGAAUAAGCCAGGUGGACCAGCCUUGUGAAAUGCCUAAAUGCAGAGAUGCCAGGCUCCCAGCUAACCAUUGAGUGGGAAAUGUGGGAAAUUAUAUUACAUAUCAGAGUAUGGUCUGAACAGUUUCACCAUAGAAUGUAUCAUAGAAAGUAGUCUGAAAGCUCUUACUAAAGUGAUUUUGUCAUUUAUAAUAUGGUGUUCAGUAAUUUUUUAAUUUUGUAAUAAACUCUUCAGCUGCAAUGAUCUUUUUAAA